AAAUAAAUGAUAAAUAUUUUUAUGCAUAUAUUUAUGCUGAAUUUAGAGAAGGGAAAAGUUGAGAAUAGCAUUACAACCAGCUAUUUGGUAAUUCUUGGGAAAAUGUCUGAUCCGUCUGGGAUCAAAAUAACUGGAAAAAAAUAUAUAACAAAAACAAAGACAACAGAAAUGUUGAGCCAGAGCAGGUGGAGUAGAGUCCUUUAGGAAGUUUAUUAUAGCAAAAUAAACUAUAUUUUGGCUCGCCCAAACCCCACUGUCCAUAGACCAAUAAUUCUUUCUCUACCCUCCUCUGAUUGCAGAAAAACUUAGCCCAGAAAACACAGGGACUCCCUGUGGAAUGUACUGCUGUGGAUCACUCUUCCCAAUGAAUCAAUAUUUCCUCCACUUCCUGCUUUUCUCUGGACACUUCAGGCAUCUCCCAAGAUUUAACCAAGAAUGGAAAAUAUUCCCUUUUGAGAGGAGUUUUAGGUCUCUCUGCUUUGAGAAGAGUCAAGGAUAGAGAUAAAGCAAGGUCAUCACUUCCCUAAACUUAAAUAAAUCCUACUGACAUUCAUAGAUGUUUCCAGAAAAUAUAAUGAACUGCAAGGAAUCUAUCAGAAUUAAUCCAGGCAUACUUUCUGAAAAAUGCCGAGGACCAGGAACUAAUAUUCUUUGUUUCAUUGUUUGAGAAGAGUUUAAGCAUGGAUGCUUUCCCUUCCUUAUUGCUAGUUAACUGCUAAGCCAAGCUUUUCUCAGGUUUAACAAGGUAAGUCACAGUAUAAUACUUUCCAAACUCAGGAAUUAAACACAUCAUGAGGAUUUGUACAUUUAACUUAAAACAUGAAAAUAAUUUAUUGUCCUGUCUCCUGUCUUUUCCUGAUAACUCAUUGCUAC
rnacentral:lncRNA from 1 species